CUAUCCUUUUUUAUUCGGUUUUUUUUUAAAAAAAAUUUGAAUAUGUGGAAUUUAUUGUCACGUCCCAAAUGACAACGAAAGUCUGGAUUAUGUUAAUAGAUCUACUGCAUGCAUAAAAAUAUAUUUUAUACAUACGAAGCGUCAAAGAUGACAGCGGAAAUUCGAAUUAUACCCGCCGCAUGCACAAAGAUACUUUUUAUAUAUACGAAGCGUCAAUAAAACCCGUCCAACAAAAAUUAAUUAAAAUCUAACAACAAUAUGUAUCAGAGUGAAAUAAAAGCUAUAUAUUCUAGCAACAUUGUAAAUAUAUAAUAAUCGCCGCACCAGUCUUCAAAAUAGUAUAAUAUCUCUAACCACGUACUUCCAUCUAAAAAUACCGUACAGCUAGCUAUAUAUAGGAAUAAGUGGUCCAGCUACACACACAAAGAGGGUAAAAGAUGCUAACUUUUUGCGAUUUUCGUAUCUCAAUCAGUCGCCGGUACUGAAGACUCUAAAAUAAAAUAUUAAUAAAGAGGGUAUGAGAAUUAUAAUCAAUAAUCUCCAGUGAAUACGAUCGACAACGCUGACAGUCUAUGCCGCUAGGUCCAUAAAAGACAGAAAUAAUAAAUAACUGAGCAAUAGAAAUAAAUAGGUACUGAUAUAAAUAAUUGCUGAAAGGAACUAUUAAUUACUAUCAUGCCUCUACAAUAUAACUAAACCUGUGAAUCAUGUAUUUCAUACAUAAAUUAAAUACUGAAUAAAAUAGCACAAUAAUGUCUAAUCAUAAUGAUCGACUCAACAGUCAAGUCUAGUCUAUCUCGCGCCGUGUCCAACACCCACCUAUAGUGAUCCACUAUAUAUCAUGCAACCUCCAGAGUGGCAUUUGCGGGGCGCUACCCCAAUCGAAAAUAGUAUCAUUGUCAAGUUGAAAAUAGUAUGCAGACUAUAAUAAUCUCACAUUAUAACAAUACUGCCAUAGUGUCCCAUAUACAAUUAUAAUCUCACAUUAACUAUCACUUUUAAAAAUAUUCAUGUCUCAAUAUACUCUACGGAUAGAUGUUAAAAUACUAUUAUUAUCUCAGCUAUGUCAAUAAGUCAUUUGAUAGGCUAAAUAAUAUAAUAUGGAUAUAAAAGUUAGUCUGCCAAUUUUGACAAUACGGAAUCCAUCUAUAUCACAAAUUCGAGAAACAAAACAGUUAUCAGGAUAUAUAGUGUGGUGAUGCGUGAUCCAGUAUUGCUCUUCUAGUUUGAACAACAGCCACAACACCAUAGAGUAACUCA
rnacentral:lncRNA from 1 species